AUUGAACGCUGGCGGCAGGCCUAACACAUGCAAGUCGAAUGGUAACAGGAAACAGCUUGCUGUUUCGCUGACGAGUGGCGGACGGGUGAGUAAUGUCUGGGAAACUGCCUGAUGGAGGGGGAUAACUACUGGAAACGGUAGCUAAUACCGCAUAACGUCGCAAGGCCAAAGAGGGGGACCUUCGGGCCUCUUGCCAUCAGAUGUGCCCAGAUGGGAUUAGCUAGUAGGUGGGGUAACGGCUCACCUAGGCGACGAUCCCUAGCUGGUCUGAGAGGAUGACCAGCCACACUGGAACUGAGACACGGUCCAGACUCCUACGGGAGGCAGCAGUGGGGAAUAUUGCACAAUGGGCGCAAGCCUGAUGCAGCCAUGCCGCGUGUAUGAAGAAGGCCUUCGGGUUGUAAAGUACUUUCAGCGGGGAGGAAGGGAGUAAAGUUAAUACCUUUGCUCAUUGACGUUACCCGCAGAAGAAGCACCGGCUAACUCCGUG
rnacentral:rRNA from 1 species